ACGGCUCAGUAACACGUGGAUAACCUGCCCUUGGGUCCGGCAUAACCCCGGGAAACUGGGGAUAAUUCCGGAUAACGCACAUAUGCUGGAAUGCUUUAUGCGUAAAAUGGAUUCGUCUGCCCAAGGAUGGGUCUGCGGCCUAUCAGGUAGUAGUGGGUGUAAUGUACCUACUAGCCAACAACGGGUACGGGUUGUGAGAGCAAGAGCCCGGAGAUGGAUUCUGAGACAUGAAUCCAGGCCCUACGGGGCGCAGCAGGCGCGAAAACUUUACAAUGCGGGAAACCGUGAUAAGGGGACACCGAGUGCCAGCAUCAUAUGCUGGCUGUCCAGGUGUGUAAAAUACACCUGUCAGCAAGGGCCGGGCAAGACCGGUGCCAGCCGCCGCGGUAACACCGGCGGCCCGAGUGGUGAUCGUGAUUAUUGGGUCUAAAGGGUCCGUAGCCGGUUUGGUCAGUCCUCCGGGAAAUCUGACGGCUCAACCGUUAGGCUUUCGGGGGAUACUGCCAGGCUUGGAACCGGGAGAGGUAAGAGGUACUACAGGGGUAGGAGUGAAAUCUUGUAAUCCCUGUGAGACCACCUGUGGCGAAGGCGUCUUACCAGAACGGGUUCGACGGUAAGGGACGAAAGCUGGGGGCACGAACCGGAUUAGAUACCCGGGUAGUCCCAGCCGUAAACGAUGCUCGCUAGGUGUCAGGCAUGGCGCGACCGUGUCUGGUGCCGCAGGGAAGCCGUGAAGCGAGCCACCUGGGAAGUACGGCCGCAAGGCUGAAACUUAAAGGAAUUGGCGGGGGAGCAC
rnacentral:rRNA from 1 species